rnacentral:sRNA from 1 species
CAUUUCCGCAUCCUUUUGUGGCGUCAUUCAAUCCAUUAUCUCGUCUUUGAGUCGUGUGUCGUCUCUCUUUCGAGAAUAUCCACUCCAGAUCUUCCAAGUGCCGAAAUUGGGAUUGAUUCCUC